CAGCAUGGGAGAUGCUUGCAAUCCCUGAUGGCGACCGGCGCACGGGUGAGUAACGCGUAUCCAACCUGCCCUUGUCCGCGGCACAGCCCGUCGAAAGGCGGAUUAAUGCCGCAUGCGGUCCGAAGACGGCAUCAGAUUCGGACGAAAGGUUUAGGCCGGAGAAGGAUGGGGAUGCGUCCGAUUAGCUUGACGGCGGGGUAACGGCCCACCGUGGCGACGAUCGGUAGGGGUUCUGAGAGGAAGGUCCCCACAUUGGGACUGAGACACGGCCCAAACUCC
rnacentral:rRNA from 1 species